rnacentral:rRNA from 1 species
AACGAACGCUGGCGGCAGGCUUAACACAUGCAAGUCGAACGCCCCGCAAGGGGAGUGGCAGACGGGUGAGUAACGCGUGGGAACAUACCCUUUCCUGCGGAAUAGCUCCGGGAAACUGGAAUUAAUACCGCAUACGCCCUACGGGGGAAAGAUUUAUCGGGGAAGGAUUGGCCCGCGUUGGAUUAGCUAGUUGGUGGGGUAAAGGCCUACCAAGGCGACGAUCCAUAGCUGGUCUGAGAGGAUGAUCAGCCACAUUGGGACUGAGACACGGCCCAAACUCCUACGGGAGGCAGCAGUGGGGAAUAUGGGACAAUGGGCGCAAGCCUGAUCCAGCCAGGCCGCGUGAGUGAUGAAGGCCUUAGGGUUGUAAAGCUCUUUCACCGAUGAAGAUAAUGACGGUAGUCGGAGAAGAAGCCCCGGCUAACUUCGU